ensembl:lncRNA novel transcript
GGUAACACCUGUGGGGCAUUCCUUUUUGAACAGUACCCCUUCCCUUGAUGUCUGCAAUAUCACCUUUCUUAUAGAUUAGCAUAUAUGUGGCCAAAGGAACAACUCCAUGUUUUUGUAAAGGCCUAGAGAACAUAUAUCCAGUGCCUUUCCUUUUUGCCUUUGUAUUCAUCAUUUUGGCAAAUUACUGGAAGAUGACGGUUCUGGCCAAAAGGCUGGUUUUGUUUUUGGGUCACAUUUUCUUGCUUCUCUGCGUUAGAAUCUUGGAUUAGAUGAUGGACAUGGUGAAGAUGGAAAAUAUGAGGUGCAGAGAAGUGAUGGAAAAAAGAGAAGAUCAGGAUUUCAGUUUUUUUCUGCAUUUCUCAUCAUCCCAUGAAGUCUCUUGAUAACAUAAGCCAAGUUUUCAUAUACCUUGACGUGUGUGAUACUUACGUGGUGCCAAGAACAAGAUGCAUACUCAAUAAAUAUUCAUCACUAUAGGCAAAAGCGGGCACAGAUGGAAAAUAAAAUUAUUUGAAGAGUCUUGCUCUGUCACACAGGCUGGAGCGUAGUGGCAUGAUCUCAGCUCAUUGCAACCUCUGCCUCCUGGGUUCAAGCAAUCCUCCUACCUCAGCCUCCUGAGUAGCUUGGACCACAGCAUCGAACAAACAACUGAGAUCCUGUUGUGCCUAUCACCUGUUGAAGUUGCCAGUCUUAAGGAAGGAAUCAAUUUCUUUCGCAAUAAGAGCACUGGCAAAGACUACGUCUUGUACAAGAAUAAGAGCCGACUGAGGGCAUGCAAGAAUAUGUGCAAGCACCAAGGAGGCCUGUUCAUAAAAGAUAUCGAGGAUUUAGCCGGAAGUUGUUGAAAUGGAUGAAAACAACGGACUUUUGCUUUUAGAACUGAAUCCUCCUAACCCUUGGGACUUACAGCCCAGAUCUCCUGAAGAGUUGGCUUUUGGAGAAGUACAGAUAACAUAUCUCACUCAUGCCUGCAUGGACCUCAAGUUAGGAGACAAGAGAAUGGUGUUUGACCCUUGGUUAAUCGGUCCUGCUUUUGCC